rnacentral:rRNA from 1 species
AGCACCACAACAGGUGGAGCCUGCGGUUUAAUCGGACUCAACGCCGGGAAACUCACCAGAUAAGACAGCUGAAUGAUAGUCGGGCUGAAGACUCUACUUGACUAGCUGAGAGGAGGUGCAUGGCCGUCGUCAGUUCGUACUGUGAAGCAUCCUGUUAAGUCAGGCAACGAGCGAGACCCACGCCAACGGUUGCCAGCUCGUCCUCCGGGAUGGUGGGGACACUGUUGGGACCGCCUCUGCUAAAGAGGAGGAAGGAAUGGGCAACGGUAGGUCAGCAUGCCCCGAAUUAUCUGGGCUACACGCGGGCUACAAUGGGUGGGACAAUGGGUAUCGACACCGAAAGGUGAAGGCAAUCUCCUAAACCCAUCCGUAGUUCGGAUUGUGGGCUGCAACUCGCCCACAUGAAGCUGGAAUCUGUAGUAAUCGUGUCUCAAAAUGGCACGGUGAAUAUGUCCCUGCUCCUU